rnacentral:lncRNA from 1 species
AUGUCAGAACGAUAUCAAAAUCUUUUAGAUCUGAAAUUUUUCUUGAUAGAUUUCAAAUCUAAAUCCUAAUCUAAUGCAUAUGACAUGGCUCUCAUACCACUGUUGGAGUUUUAUGAUUUCAUGCAUGCAUAUUUUAUAAAAUAAGUACGUAGUGAAAUUUUAAAAUUUUUUAGAUUAAAUCUAAUUUAAUCUAAGUAUGCAUAAGAUCAUAUCUUCAAACCAUAACAGGAUCAUCAUAUGUGAGAUAAGAUUUAGAUACAGAAAUCAAAUAAAAAAAUAAU